UACGGGGGGUGCGAGCGUUGUCCGGAAUCACUGGGCGUAAAGGGCGCGUAGGUGGUCUGAUAAGGGUGUGGUGAAAGUCCGGGGCUCAACCCCGGAUCUGCCGUGCCGACUGUCAGACUCGAGGACUGUAGAGGCAGGCGGAAUUCCGGGUGUAGCGGUGGAAUGCGUAGAGAUCCGGAAGAACACCGGUGGCGAAGGCGGCCUGCUGGGCAGUAGCCGAAAGGCUUGAAAGCUGACGCUGAGGCGCGACAGCGUGGGGAGCAAACAGG
rnacentral:rRNA from 1 species